rnacentral:rRNA from 1 species
AACGAACGCUGGCGGCAUGCCUAACACAUGCAAGUCGAACGAGAUCUUCGGGUCUAGUGGCGCACGGGUGCGUAACGCAUGGGAAUCUGCCCUUUGGUUCGGAAUAACAGUUGGAAACGACUGCUAAUACCGGAUGAUGACGAAAGCCCAAAGAUUUAUCGCCAGAGGAUGAGCCCGCGUAGGAUUAGCUAGUUGGUGUGGUAAAGGCGCACCAAGGCGACGAUCCUUAGCUGGUCUGAGAGGAUGAUCAGCCACACUGGGACUGAGACACGGCCCAGACUCCUACGGGAGGCAGCAGUGGGGAAUAUUGGACAAUGGGCGAAAGCCUGAUCCAGCAAUGCCGCGUGAGUGAUGGAGGCCUUAGGGUUGUAAAGCUCUUUUACCCGGGAUGAUAAUGACAGUACCGGGAGAAUAAGCUCCGGCUAACUCCGUGCCAGCAGCCGCAGUAA